GACGAACGCUGGCGGCGUGCUUAACACAUGCAAGUCGAACGCUGAAGCUCAGCUUUUGUUGGGUGGAUGAGUGGCGAACGGGUGAGUAACACGUGAGUAACCUGCCCCCUUCUUUGGGAUAACGCCCGGAAACGGGUGCUAAUACUGGAUAUUCACUGGUCUUCGCAUGGGGGUUGGUGGAAAGGGUUUUUCUGGUGGGGGAUGGGCUCGCGGCCUAUCAGCUUGUUGGUGGGGUGAUGGCCUACCAAGGCUUUGACGGGUAGCCGGCCUGAGAGGGUGACCGGUCACAUUGGGACUGAGAUACGGCCCAGACUCCUACGGGAGGCAGCAGUGGGGAAUAUUGCACAAUGGGCGCAAGCCUGAUGCAGCGACGCCGCGUGAGGGAUGGAGGCCUUCGAGUUGUGAACCUCUUUCGCUCAUGGUCAAGCCGCAACAAUGGUUGUGGUGAGGGUAGUGGGUAAAGAAGCGCCGGCUAACUACGUG
rnacentral:rRNA from 1 species